UACGGGGGGGGCAAGCGUUGUUCGGAAUUACUGGGCGUAAAGGGCGCGUAGGCGGCCUUCUAAGUCGGACGUGAAAUCCCUCGGCUUAACCGAGGAACUGCGUCCGAUACUGAAAGGCUUGAAUCCGGGAGAGGGAUGUGGAAUUCCAGGUGUAGCGGUGAAAUGCGUAGAUAUCUGGAGGAACACCGGUGGCGAAGGCGGCAUCCUGGACCGGCAUUGACGCUGAGGCGCGAAAGCUAGGGUAGCAAACGGG
rnacentral:rRNA from 1 species